rnacentral:tRNA from 1 species
AGUAUUAUGUCUGAUUAAAGUAAUAAAUUGUAAAUUUAUUUAAGGAAUAAAAUUUCUGAUACUA